AUGGCUUGUAGUGACAAAAAGAUUGCCUUCUUGGCUCUGCUGCUAGCAUUGCUUGGUUGCCUGGGGCGCACGUGCCAAGCGAGCUACGGGUUUCCCUAUCCGUUGCUCCCUUUCUUCCAGGUCAGAAUAAGUUCUCAUGCCCUGUCGCUCACCUUUGGUCACUACCCCAAGGUCAAGAACACUUGCUAUGGAGUGGAGACGAUCGUGAGGGACAUUGUAAAGGAGGAGGUGGACCGCGACCGCGGCAUCGGCGCCGGGCUCAUCCGUCUCUUCUUCCACGACUGCUUUGUCCGGGGUUGUGAUGCGUCGGUCCUCCUUAACACUACCAGCACGCCCAACGAGCCGACGGAGAUGGAAGGCAUCCCCAACAAGGGCAGUCUUCGUGGCUUCGAGGUGAUCAACAGGAUCAAGGAGAAGCUUGAGGCCACGCCCGGGUGCAAGCAUAUCGUCUCAUGCUCGGACAUCGUCGCCUUUGCUGGGCGCGACGCCACCUACUUCCUCAGCAACAAGGUGAUAGACUUUGAAAUCCCGUCUGGCCGCUACGACGGGCGCGUCUCUCUCGCCAGCGAAACCCUCCCCAAUCUGCCCCCUCCCUUCGCCAACAUCACGAUGCUCGAGGCUAUGUUCCAAAACAAGAAUCUCACCCUUGACGAGAUGGUCACCCUCUCCGGCGCACACUCAAUCGGCAUCUCCCACUGCUCGUCCUUCAACGGGGACCGCCCCACGACCAUGAACUCUACAUUGGCCGACUUGGUGACAGCUAACUGUAGCAGCGGCGGCAACCCUACGGUGGAUCAGGACAUCUACACCCCUGGAUACCUGGACAACCAAUACUACAACAACGUGCUUAACCACGAAGUGUUGUUCAAAUCGGAUGCCGCGCUCGAGUCACCCUCGACAAUUGAAUCCGUGAAACGAAAUGCCAGGUACCCUGUAGAGUGGGAACAGAAGUUCCGGCAAGCCAUGGUGAAGAUGGGCAACAUCGAGGUCAAGACCAGCAUGAAUGGGGAGAUCAGACAGAAGUGCUGGUCCAUCAACUACUAG
rnacentral:rRNA from 1 species